GCUUGUCUCAAAGAUUAAGCCAUGCAUGUGUACGUUCAAGCCCUUGUACGGUGAAACUGCGGAUGGCUCAUUAUAUCAGUGAUAAUUUGGUUGAUGGAGAGAUAUCGUGGAUAACCGUGGUAAUUCUAGAGCUAAUACAUGCAGAGCAGACGCAAGUCUGGCAUUUAUUAGAUAAAGCCUUGGCGGGGGGCUUCGGCCCGCUGCUGCGGUGAGAGAUGAUAACUGGGCGGAUCGCGCUUUGGCGCGACGCAUCAAGGAAAUUUCUGCCCUAUCAACUGUGGACGGUAGGAUCGAGGCCUACCGUGGUGGUGACGGGUACGGGGAAUCGGGGUUUGAUUCCGGAGAGGGAGCCUGAGAGAUGGCUACCACUUCCAAGGAAGGCAGCAGG
rnacentral:rRNA from 1 species